rnacentral:misc_RNA from 2 species
ACACCUCAACUCUCAUGGUCUUCCAUGAUGAGCUUGGACUUUGGGGGUUUGCUGGCCCUGCGGCCGGCUCCUCUCAAAUGAAUUAGCUUGCCAGUGUUUGGUGGCAUCACGAGUGUGAUAACUAUCUACGCUCGCGGUCGUCCGCCAGGUAACCCUCAGCGAUGAAGGUUCAUUGGGGCUUAUAAACGUCUCUCCUCGGCGAGGACAGCUUUUGAAC